CUUAGUAACGAAGCUAACGCGUGAAGUUGACCGCCUGGGGAGUACGGUCGCAAGAUUAAAACUCAAAGGAAUUGACGGGGACCCGCACAAGCGGUGGAUGAUGUGGAUUAAUUCGAUGCAACGCGAAAAACCUUACCUACCCUUGACAUGUCCGGAAUCCUGCAGAGAUGCGGGAGUGCUCGAAAGAGAACCGGAACACAGGUGCUGCAUGGCUGUCGUCAGCUCGUGUCGUGAGAUGUUGGGUUAAGUCCCGCAACGAGCGCAACCCUUAUCAUUAGUUGCUACGCAAGGGCACUCUAAUGAGACUGCCGGUGACAAACCGGAGGAAGGUGGGGAUGACGUCAAGUCCUCAUGGCCCUUAUGGGUAGGGCUUCACACGUCAUACAAUGGUCGGUACAGAGGGUUGCCAAGCCGCGAGGUGGAGCCAAUCCCAGAAAGCCGAUCGUAGUCCGGAUUGUUCUCUGCAACUCGAGAGCAUGAAGUCGGAAUCGCUAGUAAUCGCGGAUCAGCAUGUCGCGGUGAAUACGUUCCCGGGUCUUGUACACACCGCCCGUCACACCAUGGGAGUGGAAUCUGGCAGAAGUAGGUAGCCUAACCGCAAGGAGGGCG
rnacentral:rRNA from 1 species